UAUCUGAUUGAUCCUGUCUGAAUUGAUGUGCUUAUUUUAAAGAUUAAGCCAUGCAUGUGUAAGUACAAUGUUUUAAACAUGAAACCGCGGAAAGCUCAUUAUAACAGCUAUAGACUACACGGUAAAUAUUUUAGUUGGAUAACUGAGGUAAUUCUUGAGCUAAUACACGCUUUUUAUACCACAUUAGUGGUGCGUUUAUUUGAUUAAACCAUUUUUUCGGUUGACUCAAAAUAUCCUCGCUGAUUUUGUUACUAAAACAUACCGUAUGUGUAUCUGGUUUAUCAACUUUCGAUGGUAGGGUAUUGGCCUACCAUGGUUGUGACGGAUAACGGAGAAUUAGGGUUCGACUCCGGAGAGGGAGCCUGAGAAACGGCUACCACAUCCAAGGAAGGCAGCAGGCGCGAAAAUUACCCAAUUUUAGUUAAAAGA
rnacentral:ncRNA from 1 species